GCGGGUAUAGCUUAGUGGUAAAGCUCCUGCCUUCCAAGCAGGCGACACGGGUUCGAGUCCCGUUACCCGCU
rnacentral:tRNA from 1 species